UAGCUUGCUAUCAGGCGUCGAGCGGCGGACGGGUGAGUAAUACUUAGGAAUCUACCUAGUAGUGGGGGAUAGCUCGGGGAAACUCGAAUUAAUACCGCAUACGACCUACGGGAGAAAGGGGGCAACUUGUUGCUCUCGCUAUUAGAUGAGCCUAAGUCGGAUUAGCUAGAUGGUGGGGUAAAGGCCUACCAUGGCGACGAUCUGUAGCUGGUCUGAGAGGAUGAUCAGCCACACCGGGACUGAGACACGGCCCGGACUCCUACGGGAGGCAGCAGUGGGGAAUAUUGGACAAUGGGGGAAACCCUGAUCCAGCCAUGCCGCGUGUGUGAAGAAGGCCUUUUGGUUGUAAAGCACUUUAAGCAGUGAAGAAGACUCCGUGGUUAAUACCCACGGACGAUGACAUUAGCUGCAGAAUAAGCACCGGCUAACUCUGUGCCAGCAGCCGCGGUAAUACAGAGGGUGCAAGCGUUAAUCGGAAUUACUGGGCGUAAAGCGAGCGU
rnacentral:rRNA from 1 species